AGUGAACGCUGGCGGCAGGCCUAACACAUGCAAGUCGAGCGGCAGCGGGUCCCCGCGAGGGGAUGCCGGCGAGCGGCGGACGGGUGAGGAACACAUCGGAAUCUGCCUGGUUGUGGGGGAUAACGUAGGGAAACUUACGCUAAUACCGCAUGCGACCCUGAGUCGACGGACUUGGGGUGAAAGUGAGGGACCUUCGGGCCUCACGCGACCAGAUGAGCCGAUGUCGGAUAGCUAGUUGGCGGGGUAACGGCCCGCCAAGGCGACGAUCCGUAGCUGGUCUGAGAGGAUGAUCAGCCACACUGGGACUGAGACACGGCCCAGACUCCUACGGGAGGCAGCAGUGGGGAAUCUUGGACAAUGGGCGCAAGCCUGAUCCAGCCAUGCCGCGU
rnacentral:rRNA from 1 species